rnacentral:rRNA from 1 species
UACAGAGGUCUCAAGCGUUGUUCGGAUUCAUUGGGCGUAAAGGGUGCGUAGGCGGCGCGGUAAGUCGGAUGUGAAAUCUCGGAGCUUAACUUCGAAACUGCAUUCGAUACUGCCGUGCUUGAGGACUGGAGAGGAGACUGGAAUUUACGGUGUAGCGGUGAAAUGCUUAGAUAUGACAUAGAACACCAAUUGCGAAGGCAGCUCGUUACACGAAUAUUGACUCUGAGGCACGAAAGCGUGGGGAUCAAACAGG